GUUGCUGUGGCAAGACAAAAGCAACUUAAAGAAGGAGGCUGGAGAGAUGGCUUAGUGACUAGUAGCAUACGUUGCUCUUCCAGAAACCCGAGUUCAGUUCCCAGCACUCAUGUCAGGCAGCUCACAGCUGCCGGCUACUUCCGCUCCAGGGGAUUUGGCAUCCUCUUCUAGCCUCUGAGGCUGCAUGUGCUAACCUGUACAUAUCAACACACAACAUGCCCAUAUUGAAAAAGAGGAUAAAAUAAACAUAAAUUUGAAAUAAAGAAGCAGGGAUUUACUUUGGUUCAUAGUGAAGGGUGUAACCCAUCACAGCGAUAUCAUGGUGGCAGAUAAUGAGGCAGCGGGUUACACUGCACUUGCAGUUGGGAAGCAGGAGGUGAGCAAUGCCCUCAGUUGCUUCCUCAUCACCCCCCUUCUUAUUCAGUCUGUGACUCCACCCUGAAUAUGGGUGUGUCUUUCUUUCUUAGUUAAAGUUCUCAGGAAGCACGCUCACAGACACACCCAGAAGUGAUCCCAAAAUUCACUCUAAUCCAAUGAAGACUGCCCAUCACAGAUAGUGGGUGGUUCUUCACUGGGCGUGUCAUGCUUAUUCUCCCGUAGGCUGUUUUGCAGGGCUGCUGUCUUGGGUACCACAAUAGGCACUGUUACAUGGAGCUGAACAGGCCCCAUGCCAUGGGAAACCUACCUGGAAAGAUGGUCUGAUAGGAGCAAGCACUCAUCUCUGAUGUGCUCCCUGGCCCACCCAGGCUAUCUGCUGGGUGGAGUUGCUUGUGAUGUCCCCAUGGUUUUAGCCCCAGGGAUUGGCCUAACUGGAUGGCAAGGGAAUGAAGAAAGGGCAGACAUAAGUACAGAAAAGCUGGGAUUAGGUGGACUGGACUCUGAUGGAGAAGUCACAGUACCUUGGAAUCAUAACGUAUUUAUUGUAUUGAAUAGGGAGGCAGAGUUAUUGCAUACAGCUGAACAAAGAGACAGAUUUAGUUCAUCCUGGUAGGAGCUGCUCUGUAGUGAGAAGUUUCCAGGCCAUAAACAUAGGGGUUGGGGAGAAAACUAAGGUGGACAUUUUCUGGAUACUCUAUUAACAUCCACACAUGGACCAGCAGAAGACUUUGCCACUUCUGUGGGCACUGGGGUCUUUGACAUAGCUGUCCCCAUGUCAACAGUGCACCCACUUAGUACUUCACUCAAUCACUAUGCCACAUAAAAGGCCAGACAAAAUGGUGUACAUCUCUAACCUUAGCACUUCCUCAGGGGAGAUAGGUGGAGAAGGCAGGAGAACAAUCUGGAUGCUCUCUACACAGCCACCCUGGAGUAAGAAGCUCAGCAGUGAAACAUCAAGAGAGACCCAUCCUCAACAAAGUGGAAGAUUGUCUGAGUGCUUUAGGGAAAGACAAAUGAUGGCUGUGGAUUGAUGUUAAUGAGAGAAGACUUUUUAGAAGACAUUUGGUGGAGAAUUUUUUGGAAGAUAAACAUGGAAUGAGCUGAAGAAGAGGUAAAGAUCUUCCCUGAAUAACAUCGCCAGUCCACAGGCUGACCAAACCGUAGAAGAACCUGGACUUCAGGUUGUGACCGGAUGGACAAAGGACCCAUCAUACACCUAGGUGCAGGUUUUGGAAUCACCUAGGAGACAUACUUCUGUGAGCGCGUCUCCAGAGAUGGUUAACUGAAAAGAGAAGCCCAGCCCUGAAUGCGGGCAUUGCGAUCUCAUGGAUCAGAGCACCAACCCAAAUGAAAAGCAGGGAGAAGGAAGGAGCCCGCUGAACACCGGCAUCCAUCUCUUUCUGUUUCCCGAUGAACUCUAUCUACAAAUGAGACGAACAUACACCCUUCUUCCUUAGUUUGUGGGUUUUUUUUUUUUUUUUUUUUUUUUUUUUUUUUUUUU